ensembl:lncRNA
AUCUGGGGUCAGGCUAUAGAAGGAGACAACAGAUCUGGGGUCAGGCUAUAGAAGGAGACAACAGAUCUGGGGUCAGGCUAUAUAAGGAGACAACAGAUCUGGGGUCAGGCUAUAGAAGGAGACAACAGAUCUGCCACUAUAUAGGGAAUAGGGCUCUGGUCUAUAGUAGUACCACUAUAUAGUGAAUAGGGCUCUGGUCUAUGGUAGUUAUACUAUAUAGGGAAUAGGGCUCUGGUCUAUAGUAGUGUAAUAUAUAGGGAAUAGGGCUCUGGUCUAUAGUAGUACCACUAUAUAGGGAAUAGGGCUCUGGUCUAUAGUAGUACCACUAUAUAGGGAAUAGGGCUCUGGUCUAUAGUAGUACCACUAUAUAGGGAAUAGGGCUCUGGUCUAUAGUAGUGUACUAUAUAGGGAAUAGGGCUCUGGUCUAUAGUAGUACCACUAUAUAGGGAAUAGGGCUCUGGUCUAUAGUAGUGUACUAUAUAGGGAGAAGUGUGCAUCCCAGAAACCUCAACAGAGCAAUGCUCUUUAGAGGAGUGUGUGUAUGUGUGUGUUGUGUGUGUGUGUGUGUGUGUGUGUGUGUGUGUUGUGUGUGUGUGGGUUAUCUUGAUAUAACCUUGUCAUUAUUUAGUAAUAUGUUCGUUCCAACACUGGUCAUUGAUUGGUGCGUUUUGCCUGAUGUGGAUUCCUGUUAACUACUGUGUUGUGUGUUAGACUUACAACCUGAAGUAUCUGUACAUGUCCCUGAUAUUAAAAUGGAUCCUGUGAAGUGACGGUCCGUGUUCUUCAGAGGGGGUACGUGUCCCUGAUAUUAAAAUGGAUCCUGUGAAGUGACGGUCCGUGUUCUUCAGAGAGGGGGGGGCACGUGUCCCUGAUAUUAAAAUGGAUCCUGUGAAGUGACGGUCCGUGUUCUUCAGAUACGUGUCCCUGAUAUUAAAAUGGAUCCUGUGAAGUGACGGUCCGUGUUCUUCAGAGAGGGG